rnacentral:lncRNA from 1 species
GGUUGUGGAGAAAUACUGAUUUGAAAUACAUAAGGGGAGAAAACUCCUAUAAGGGUUAACCAAAACACUUUGACUGAAAUAGGUUGAAGUUGCGCGCCUAAUUGUAAACAGUUAUUUGGCAAACACAUCAUAUCAUCUACUGUCACAGUUUCUGUGGAAUAACGAUAACAAGCAAAAUUCAAAAUUUAGAACAUGACCUUGACCUUUGACCUUGACCUCAAUUUCCUUCAAAUGGACCAAGGACUUCAUAUCAAAAGACUGUAGGCCUCUACGACUUAAAACGUAUCCAACAAAUCGCUUAUCUUAAAUUUUCAAAGGGAAAUAACUCCCAUAAGAUGUCUUCCGAUCACUCAAGUCAAAAUAAACCAAAUCAUUCUCAAGAGUAGACGAACCAUUUGGUGAAAACAGUUUGCUAAAAUCUUUUACGGUUUUAGAGAUAUAGCGAUAACAAGAAAAAGGGGACGCGGGGAGAUAACUCCUAUAAGAAUAAGUGUUCGGUCACACAGGGUGAGUUUUGAAACCCCCAUUACUGUACAUCAUUGGCCAA